CAGUAAAACCUUUACAAGCCUCUGUUUUCUGGAAAGCUUUUUCCAAGUGGUGUAACUCACUUUUCUGACAUGCUCUUGAAAAGAUGGUGAAUGAAAAAAUUCAAGUGUGAUGAGAGGAGGCACUUCUACCAUGCAGGUCUGUAUGGCUAAGCAAGAUAGUAUGUUUCAUCAGUGGUGGGCUGUAAGGAUUCAGUCUACGGUCAGCCUCUCUGGCACUGUUGAAACUGGUUUCUCAUAUACCAUGAAACUCUUUUCAGUGAGGACUCGUAGCUGCUCAAUUAAACUAUCACAGGCUUGAAAGAUCAUGCUGCAAAGGCUCCUGACAGCUGUUGCUUUCCCUGUGUGGACCAAUGUGCAACAGAACAUUGUGGGUGUUGUAUUUCUGGCUUUUGUCCUCAUUUGGCAAACUCAGGGACUUAAUCUCACCUGAAUAUGACUUAUUCUAAAGCACUGAUUGUUUCUCUUAAACACAAGAUGCUGACAGAAUUGCUCAAUGUUGUGCCCAGCCAGGCAGUACGCCUACGCUGGUCUUUCCAUCUCAGAGAGGACUUUACCUAGAGUAAAGCAUUCUUGACUAAUCUGAUAGCCCUCUACGAUCAAAUGGUCAGAGCCUUUCAUUCAGCAGGGCUGUCACUGGAGCCUCCUGCAGUGUGUGUGUGUCCAAAACAUGUCUGCGUGGAGCUGGUGGGGUUGAAAACGGGCGGGACUGUUGCACCCAAAAUGGAAUGGGAACGGUUGGCCAUCGUCUCUCUGGAGACUGAAUGCAGGUGUUGGUGCUCAAGAUUUCUUCCUCAAACUUCUCCUAUUUAAUGAGGUUGGACUAGAGACCUCGUGAAGUCUGAUUCUGUUCAGCAAUGCCAUGUCAGACUCCGUGCCCCAGAUGUGGAGCAGCUGCUUUUCUCAGGGUGUGUUUUAUUGAUCUACCAAGCAUGCACUUAGUGCUGAGCACAGUAGGCUCGUCCUCAGUGUUGUCUGUUCAUUCCACUGCCCCAAGUACGGCCGGGUUCGGUCGAAUGGGAGCUGGCAGACCCCAACAUGUUCACUUGAUAGUGAGCAAGACAGAGACUUUUGAGACAGAGGAGAAGAAUGCAGCAGACUGAUGAGUGCCUUCUAGCCACAAAGAGUUGGAGAGGCAUCAGUGGCUGAUGGCAGUUUCUCAUAAAGUGUUUUUCUGGCCUUCCCACACCCCUGAGGUUUUCAGCAAGCAGAAGUUACGAGAGAGAUGUCGAAACCACAGAUAAAGAGAGUGCCUCUGCUUAUUUUCAGUCAGGGUCAGUCCUCUCAGGAAGGGGAAAAGGUUAGACUGUGAGCAGCAGAGGGAGCUUUGGGACAAGAAUACAGCAGUCUGCAGGCACUUUUGGCCUUUGUGUAGGAGCAAACCUUGGCAGAGAGAAGAGGAAGAAAUUCUGGGGUCAGUGUAGGAUUUUUUUUUUCUCUAUCAUCAUCAUCCACAAUUUCUCCUCUUCCACUGUGGGCAUGUUCUUUAGGUGCUGGUAAAAUGGCUGCAACAGCUUCUUAAAAUCUUGAAAUCAAGAUGCUGGUAACUAGUAUUUUUAAUCUUUCCACAGAGAAAGUUAGUAGUAAAGAAUAGUCUCUGUAAAUUCCUCUCAGUUUGCUGACACCACUUGGCUGGAGAAACACCAGGAAGAGAGCAGCGUAUUCCAGGAAUGCUGUUAUCAUACCUAUAGGCAAGAGAUUUUCUUCUCAAAAGCCAUAGCAGAUAUGGGCUUAUAUCUCUCCGGCUUUUGCUGCUCCCACAUCACAAAAUUGUUACAAUUCCUAAUUUGUUAUCUUCUUACAGUGUUUUUCUCAGUCUUUUUACCCAGGCUCAGUGUAUGCAGUGUUCGUUUCUCUAGCUUGUAAGAUUGAACUCGGAGAUCUGAGCAUCCUCCUGAAGUUGGUUGAUGAGAAAAUGUGUGUGGUUUUGGACUAGAAUGAGCCGCAAGUGCAUCUGGAAGAAGCUGAGAUUAAUUUAAUUGCAAAUGCUAGCAAGACAAAAACGUGUGUAGUGCCAGCUCAGAAAUCCGACUUGGAUCUCGCUGGGAGCAGGAAAUCCCUGUUGAUCGCACUGGUGAUUCAGCCCGGGUUUAUCAGCAAGCAGCCCCAAAGCCACUUGUCAGCAGUGUAAUCCAGCGAUUACUUGGUGUACAAGGUCUCCUCCUAGCUUCAGGGGGAGCAGGAAAGGCCGAUGUUAUUAUCUCCCCACUUAAAGCACGCAGAAAGCACUGGCAAUUUUCUAAAGAGCUGCAGUGUGUUACCAGGUGAGGCAACGCGAUGCUGCCGCAGAGACCUCGGGGAUGAAAGCACUGCUGGGCUCCUCAGGCACUGUGCUCAGGCUCAUGCCUCUCCUCUUUUAUUUCCUCUCCCCAACUUUUAUUGGAAGCUUCUGUGUUUUCCACAAGGAGUAAUUCCACAAGCACAGAGCAAGCUGUGUCUGUGGGUUGUCCCCACCAGCUGAAGAUGAAAUAGUUCCCUGUGGUGCUCACUGCUGUUUGAUGCUGAUCCUGCCUUUUCCAGCAGCCGCAGGAGUUGGUUUUGACUCUUGUGACCAUCCUUUCCACUAGACAAGGGAGGCUCUUGCUGAUCCAUCCGUCCUGAGCAUAUAUAUUUUUUGAUAUAUAUAUAUAUAUAUUUUCCAUCUGUGCAAGUGCUUGCCUUAUUGUUUGGGACUGGUUACUUACUCAUGUUAUUACUGGGCACGCAGGUCUGGCCUUGCAUAACCCCUUCACAGGGGUCAGCCCUGCAGCGUGCAGUGUUUGAAGGUGGCUUGGUUUGCUGAAGUGGUUUGCAGGUCUGCAGGGCUGUGCAAGAAGUGAUGACAGGACAAGAUCUUGCAUGCAGUAGCUGGCAGAGAGCAGAGGAGGAUGUUUGCUGAGGAGAGAUGUCCUUGUGAUUAAAGUCAGCGUCACGUCAGAUGACAUCGCCCUAAUCCCGGCUAUGCUGCUCAUGGUGAUCGCUUGGUGUCCUAAAUCUGCACGAGGGAACGUGUCUAAGCUAUUUCUGUGCCACGAGAUUGCAGCUAUCAUUUAAAUAGGUUUCUUUUUUCCCCCUCAGGAAAUUUACGUUUAAUCUCUUGUCCUCCUCUUUCCUCCCCAGUGGAAAUAACAGCCAAAAAAAAAAAAAAGAGAAUUGGGCGCUAAGCA